rnacentral:rRNA from 1 species
GAUGAACGCUGGCGGCGUGCCUAAUACAUGCAAGUCGAGCGAACAGACGAGGAGCUUGCUUCUCUGACGUUAGCGGCGGACGGGUGAGUAACACGUGGAUAACCUACCUAUAAGACUGGGAUAACUUCGGGAAACCGGAGCUAAUACCGGAUAAUAUAUUGAGCCGCAUGGUUCAAUAGUGAAAGACGGUUUUGCUGUCACUUAUAGAUGGAUCCGCGCCGCAUUAGCUAGUUGGUAAGGUAACGGCUUACCAAGGCAACGAUGCGUAGCCGACCUGAGAGGGUGAUCGGCCACACUGGAACUGAGACACGGUCCAGACUCCUACGGGAGGCAGCAGUAGGGAAUCUUCCGCAAUGGGCGAAAGCCUGACGGAGCAACGCCGCGUGAGUGAUGAAGGUCUUCGGAUCGUAAAACUCUGUUAUUAGGGAAGAACAAAUGUGUAAGUAACUAUGCACGUCUUGACGGUACCUAAUCAGAAAGCCACGGCUAACUACGUG